UUAAACUCGUUGAACACAUCGAAACAGAGAGAUUGAAGAAGCAGAGGAAGGAAGAAAGAGCUGUUGUUUCAAGAUGUGGAGUGUUGGGGCCUUUGACUCAAUCACUUUAACAACACCAUCUCCGUCGUCAGCUCUGUUCGGAGCUCUGGCCAAACCACCCACUUGUUCACUCCGCGUUCACUUUCCCUCUAGGCCUCUACGAGCUCUUCCCACCUUCACUCUUUCAAAUCAAUCGUCUUCUUUCGGAUCCAAGAAAGCUCUCCCCUUUCGAUGCUCUGCCGCAUUGACUCCGGAGCUGAAGAGUACGCUGGACAAAGUUGUUACUUCACACAAAGUGGUGCUGUUUAUGAAGGGAACCAAGGACUUCCCGCAGUGUGGAUUUUCAAACACUGUUGUACAAAUAUUGAGGUCGUUGAAUGUACCUUUCGAGACAAUUAAUAUCCUGGAAAAUGAGUUUCUGCGUCAGGGAUUGAAGGAGUAUUCCAGUUGGCCCACAUUUCCUCAACUUUAUGUUGAAGGAGAAUUCUUUGGUGGUUGUGACAUCACUGUUGAUGCAUACAAAAGUGGGGAGUUGCAGGAAGUACUGGAGAAGGCAAUGUGCUCAUGAAGCUUUCGGGUUGGGACUUAUCAAAGUGUGGACUGUGCUCAUAUUGCUUCAAUCUGUGCUACAAAUUUGUGUCAUACACACCCCAAAUUUGCAUGGAAACAUGAAGGCACCAUCCAGUCCUGUAAGAUCGAUCAUCAUAUUUCUUUUCUCUGUGCCCAAAUUCAAAUGAACACUUCAAUCUGGUCCCUAUCUGGCCUCAAGGACCCGGUAAAUUAUUCCUGUUCUGUAGUGAAUAAUACACCAGAGACCAGACUCUUAUUAUGGUGUAAAUUGGCCUUUUGUAUUAUGCUCAAUAUUGCCUUGACAGAAUACUUUUCUGGCAUUACUAGGCAAGUGGCAUGGUUUCUAUCAGUUUCUAGAAAUUCAAGAUGUAUGCAGUUUUGAAACA